ACUGAGUGUGAGGGGGUUACGAGUGCUGGUCCUGCGUCGCAUCAGGUCCGAGUCUGAGGUGGAGCUCAGAGUACCGGUCUUCAGGAACAACAUCAAUCAGACAGGGCCUGCAGGUCCCUGCAGGGGGGAGAGACAUAACAUUAUUAAGCUGCUAAUGGCCAUCCGAACCUGGGCUCAAAGGAAAAACAGUACUGGCUCAGGAGCAGCAUGUGUACAUGCUGUGUCUGUGUGGAGUCCGGAGUCGCUAGGGCAACGGACCUGCCUGCUCUGCUCGAAGAAAAUGGGGGAGGAGACGGGCCGAGAACAGAGAGGUGAGAAAACACAAGGAAAUCAAAAGACAGCAGUGGCAGUUGUAAUAGAUAACUCAUCCAAAGGGCUUUGACUUCUCAAACUUGGCAGAAAGCUAACACAAUAUGAUGCCCCGUCACCUUAUUAAUUCAGCACUUACUUAGAUUCUGUGCAUUCGGAAAGUAUUCAGACCCCUUCACUUUUUCCACAUUUUGUUACGUUACAGCCUUAUUUGUCCGCAUCAAUCUACACACAAUACCCCACAAGGACAGAACAAAAACUUGUAGCAAAUUUAUUAAAAAUAAAAAACUGAAAUAUCACAUUUACUGUAAAUAAGUAUUCAGACCCUUUACUCAGUACUUUGUUGAAGCACCUUUGGCAUUGUUGACCUUCAAUAUAAAACACAACCCUGUCAAUACACAGAUGGGCUCACCUGUUCCUGCUUACUCCCAUUGUGCUAUAACACGAACAAACAUGUGACUGGCUCAACUGUUCUGGGGC